rnacentral:rRNA from 1 species
UACGUAGGUGACAAGCGUUGUCCGGAUUUACUGGGCGUAAAGAGCGCGCAGGCGGUCGAUCAAGUCGAGUGUGAAAGCCCCCGGCUCAACUGGGGAGGGUCAUUCGAUACUGUUCGACUCGAAGGCAGGAGAGGGAAGUGGAAUUCCCGGUGUAGUGGUGAAAUGCGUAGAUAUCGGGAGGAACACCAGUGGCGAAGGCGACUACCUGGCCUGUUCUUGACGCUGAGGCGCGAAAGCUAGGGGAGCAAACGGG